AUUGAACGCUGGCGGCAUGCUUUACACAUGCAAGUCGAACGGCAGCACGAAAGAGCUUGCUCUUUUGGUGGCGAGUGGCGAACGGGUGAGUAAUGCAUCGGAACGUACCGAGUAAUGGGGGAUAACUGUCCGUAAGGAUAGCUAAUACCGCAUACGCUUUGAGAAGGAAAGUGGGGGCUCUUCGGACCUCACGUUAUUCGAGCGGCCGAUGUCUGAUUAGCUAGUUGGUGGGGUAAAGGCCUACCAAGGCGACGAUCAGUAGCGGGUCUGAGAGGAUGAUCAGCCGCACGGGGACUGAGACGCGGCCCAGACUCCUACGGGAGGCAGCAGUGGGGAAUUUUGGACAAUGGGCGCAAGCCUGAUCCAGCCAUGCCGCGUGUCUGAAGAAGGCCUUCGGGUUGUAAAGGACUUUUGUUAGGGAAGAAAAGGAUAGUGUUAAUACCAUUAUCUGCUGACGGUACCUAAAGAAUAAGCACCGGCUAACUACGUG
rnacentral:rRNA from 1 species